UGGCCAGGGUUUCACUGUUCUAACUGAUGAAAAACAUUUGUGCCGUAUUCAAAGGGCUGAAUAACCAGCUCAUAACAACAGGCCACAUUUAUGGGGGAAAUUGGAGGAGUCACUUCAGUCCAAGCAGCCCAGACUAGUUCAGACCAGAUGCGGAAAGUGGAAGAGUAAAAGUGCCGGCCCCAGGGAGGCCAACUCAGGACACCGGCCGCAGAAGCCGAAAUGUACAGGAGAUAGGACUUAUCCCAAGACACACUUCACUUGUGCUCACGAGGACCUUCAGUGCAACAGCAGCAAACUUUGGUUUAAAUGAAGUCACUGAGAAACUCACUGCACAGAAACGGAUAAAAGUAUAAUUGUGACCUUAGGGGACAUCUGAGUUCCCUAAAUAAGAAAGAGAGCUGGUGAAAGAAACAGGUUCACUGUGCUGGGCAAAGUGAAUGACUCCUGACUACAUUCACCCUGGUGAUCUUUCCCUUUUUGGGUCAGAUGGUUCCCUUCAGUUUAAUGAUCUUCCAUUUGCUGAGCAGCCUGCUAGGCUCUGAAGAAGAAAUUUCAACUAACAUCAGACUAAUUAUCAUCUGCCACUCUCCCCCAGUGCAGUAGGGCCUGCAGUGACAUGUACCAUUUCACCAAGCCUUGCCUAUGGCCCACCAGCAGCAUCCAUGCGGGGCAAAGCUUGAUUGAGAAGAAUAAAGCUCAUGGAUGGAACUCGGGGGACAUUAUGUUAGAAGAAAAUAAGCCAAGAACACAAAGUCAAACACUGCGUGUUCUCAUUCAUAUGUGGAAACUAAAAAAGUUGAUGUUGGCGAAGCGCGGUGGCUCAUGCCUAUA